UGGGGAAUAUUGCACAAUGGGCGCAAGCCUGAUGCAGCAACGCCGCGUGAGGGAUGACGGCCUUCGGGUUGUAAACCUCUUUUAGUAGGGAAGAAGCGAAAGUGACGGUACCUGCAGAAAAAGCACCGGCUAACUACGUGCCAGCAGCCGCGGUAAUACGUAGGGUGCGAGCGUUGUCCGGAAUUAUUGGGCGUAAAGAGCCCGUAGGCGGUCUGUCGCGUCUGCUGUGAAAACCCGAGGCUCAACCUCGGGCCUGCAGUGGGUACGGGCAGACUAGAGUGCGGUAGGGGAGAAUGGAAUUCCUGGUGUAGCGGUGGAAUGCGCAGAUAUCAGGAGGAACACCGAUGGCGAAGGCAGUUCUCUGGGCCGUAACUGACGCUGAGGAGCGAAAGCGUGGGGAGCGAACAGGAUUAGAUACCCUGGUAGUCCACGCCGUAAACGUUGGGCGCUAGAUGUGGGGACCAUUCCACGGUUUCCGUGUCGCAGCUAACGCAUUAAGCGCCCCGCCUGGGGAGUACGGCCGCAAGGC
rnacentral:rRNA from 1 species